AAGUCGUAACAAGGUUUCCGUAGGUGAACCUGCGGAAGGAUCAUUAAAGAUUCUGGACUUCGGUCCAACAACCCUCUAGCUGUGCGCUUCGGCUGCACGCUGGAACAACCCCUCACCCCUGUGCAUCUUUCUCGGUGGCGAUGUUUUAACCGACGUCGCUUCCGCAUAUAUACAACAACUCAAUCAAGAAUGUCAAAACCAUAAACAUAACAACUUUCAACAACGGAUCUCUUGGCUCUC
rnacentral:misc_RNA from 1 species